rnacentral:lncRNA from 1 species
GCAGGCAUCGGGCCAAUCUCAGAGGGCGCGCACGCCGCAUCAGGACCCCGGAACCCGCCCCGUUGGGGAUAGGGACAGAUGGAGAAUCCAGCUCAGACCCAGCAACUCUGAGCUGACUUGGAUCUAAUUCUUCCCAAUUCAUGCCACAAGCCCAACUCAUCAGCUGAUACCUGAGGAUGAUCCACUGCUCACUGAGCGUGGUCAGGGAGCGCCGCUGUCGGACGAGCAUCUUCAUCAAAUGUGCUGAGAACCCUCUGCACCUCUCCACGUUGCCCAUGCCCAUUUCCUGGCAGAAGAAGGAAAAACAUGCUGAAGGGGCUGCUGACAAACAUCACCCACAGAUGUGCCUCUAGAAAGCUGUUUCUACUAUAAGCGUCAGACAUGCCACACUCUAGAGGAGUUGCUAGUGCUGCGUUAAGCCUGGCAUGCCGUGCAAGAGAGCGAUAAAAAUACUUCUGGCAUCCAUCCCAUGAAGACGAGAUUUCUGUAAGCAGCCUGGAAAAGAUAUCAACAUUGUUUACUUAAUUAAAACCACGCUCUCCCACCCCAGAUCCUGAAAACUCAGAUAUUGGUAUAUUUGGCCAUAACCAAGAGUCAGCUGUCUGAAUAGGUUUAUUUCUAUGAGGAAUCAUUCAGUGAGGCACUCAUUAGUCCUUUACUUAACUCAGCACUGGAAGUAUCAGGGGAAAUAAAUUAUGCUGACAACAUGGUUUCUUCAAUGAAAUCUUCCUAUCUUGGCAGUGGAGGCUAGGGGGUCAUAAACUCUGAUGCCUACAGGGGCCAGGCAAAUAACAUAAGAGGACUAAGGACAGCCAAGCAUACAAUGAUGCAUGGCAGUGACAGCUGACCUCAACGUGGGGAAGACACAGGGGUUGUUGAGGGCUCAAGUAAGCUGGAGAGCAUGUGUCCUAUCAAAAGGAGGAAACUACUAUUCAGCUACAGUGCUGCUGACUGAAUGGGAAUGCAAGCCCACUUCGUGAAUUUUCCUGAAAAAGAAUGCUUAUGUAAAAUUUCCCCUUUCUACAAUGUUCUGUUGAAUUCAAAUUUAAAGCCCUGGGAGCAAAUAAAACACACAUGUGUACUAUACCCAGUUCAUGCAAAGCAUCAUUCACAACAUCCUCUGCUGUGUUGUAAACAGAGGUAGCUCUGCCUGUCUCAAUAGUGUAUGGACUCGCAAAUUCAAUAACAUAUUAGAACUUAUGAGGAGUGUAUGUAUAUAGAGCAACUAAAAAUAUACCAUUUUCUAAUAGGUUUCCACAUGUAUGAUCAAAUGAAGCAAGUAGACCUCAGGAAAAUCAAAAGGCAAAAAAAAAAAAAAAAAAGGGAAGAAGAAGAAGAAUGGAGAGGUGAAUGCAAG